AGUCGAGGGAGAUUUUCGGGUUCGCCCGAAUUGAGACCGGCGCACGGGUGCGUAACACGUAUGCAACCUACCCUUAACUGGGGCAUAGCUCAGAGAAAUCUGAAUUAAUACCCCAUAACACUGCACUGUGGCAUCACAGAGCAUUUAAAGUUCCGACGGUUAAGGAUGGGCAUGCGUUGCAUUAGCUAGUUGGUGAGGUAAUGGCUCACCAAGGCUACGAUGCAUAGGGGGUCUGAGAGGAUGAUCCCCCACACUGGUACUGAGACACGGACCAGACUCCUACGGGAGGCAGCAGUAGGGAAUAUUGGGCAAUGGACGAAAGUCUGACCCAGCCAUGCCGCGUGCAGGAUGACAGCCCUCUGGGUUGUAAACUGCUUUUAUAUAGGAAGAAACCCUUGGAUGCGUCCGAGGCUGACGGUACUAUAUGAAUAAGGAUCGGCUAACUUCGUGCCAGCAGCCGCGGUAAGACGAAGGAUCCAAGCGUUGUCCGGAUUUACUGGGUUUAAAGGGUGCGUAGGCGGACCUUUAAGUCAGUGGUGAAAUCCCGCAGCUCAACUGCGGAACUGCCAUUGAAACUGAAGGUCUUGAAUAUGGUUGAGGUAGAUGGAAUAUAACAUGUAGCGGUGAAAUGCUUAGAUAUGUUAUAGAACACCGAUUGCGAAGGCAGUCUGCUAAACCAUCAUUGACGCUGA
rnacentral:rRNA from 1 species